UACGUAGGGGGCAAGCGUUAUCCGGAUUUACUGGGUGUAAAGGGAGCGUAGACGGCUGUGCAAGCCAGAUGUGAAAGCCCGGGGCUCAACCCCGGGACUGCAUUUGGAACUGUGUAGCUGGAGUGUCGGAGAGGCAGGCGGAAUUCCUAGUGUAGCGGUGAAAUGCGUAGAUAUUAGGAGGAACACCAGUGGCGAAGGCGGCCUGCUGGACGAUGACUGACGUUGAGGCUCGAAAGCGUGGGUAGCAAACAGG
rnacentral:rRNA from 1 species